UAUCUAAAGUGUAGGUCAUCAUGUUGAUGGUCCAAGUUGAGAGUUGCUUUGUAUUUUGUGAGAGAAGCAUUUUGUAUAGGUUAUCGUGUGAUAAUCUGUAGGGUUGACUUGUGAGAGUUUCUUUUUAAGUUGUAUUUGAGUAUCGUUUCUAGUUUCUACAAGUUUAAAGUUGGUUAUUGUUGUUCGAUACUCAUGUUUACAAGUCUUGUAUUAGUUCCUAAAAGUCAUGUGAUUUUUAUGUGACAUCGGAUAGUUCUGUUAUGCAAUCGUAUGAUUUAUUAUUUGAUUAGAAAUUUGCAUUUUCUUGAUUCGUUGGUGUCUAAUCAGCUGUGUGUUUGAUAUGCUUACCGAACUGUGUGGUUCGUUGUUUAAUCAGGAUGUGGUUUCUGAUUUGGUUUCUUUAUGUGUUGUAGAAAGUUGUUAAACUUCUUUCUAAUGUGGAAAUUUGUAAUUCAAUUAUGUUCUUCGUUUUGAGUGAACAAAUGCUUUUUUAUUUGCUUUCAAAGUUUUUUAACAAAAGGAAAUCUGAUACCGAGUUUUGUGUAUUUCUCGGUAACUCGUUAAGUUCGUGGAAAAGAAAGAGGUAGGCCACAGUAUCUCGAUUUACAGCCAAGUCUGAAUAUCGAGUCGUGUGCUGCCACAAGUUAGGUUUUGUGGCUUAUUAGUCUUUUAUCCGAAUUAAAAGUUGAGGUAAGUUUACCAGUUUUUCUUUGCUGUGAUAACACAUCAUAUAAGCGUUUUGAGCUUGAUUUAUUUUUCUUUAGGGAAAAAUAACUGAUGGUUGUUUUAAAACUGUGGGUAUUGAGUCGAAAACUUAGACUGCAACCACUUUGACAAAAGAACAAAAAAGUUAAAUUUGUUUGCUUUGUUUAGGUAUAAAAAUGAGAG
rnacentral:lncRNA from 1 species